UUAACUCAUAUUUGUAUGCAGUUGGAACAGCGCCCCUAGCGGCAAACGUAGGCAAACGUUCCAACUCCAUACGAAUUUGAGUUA
rnacentral:pre_miRNA from 1 species